AAUUAUGGUGGGACGUAGCGGGGGAGCCGAAAGGCUCGCCGGGUUCUCUAGUGCCGGUCUAUCAAUCCCGUUACGUCUCGCCACCCCG
rnacentral:antisense_RNA from 1 species